UACGAAGGGGGCUAGCGUUGCUCGGAAUCACUGGGCGUAAAGGGUGCGUAGGCGGGUCUUUAAGUCAGGGGUGAAAUCCUGGAGCUCAACUCCAGAACUGCCUUUGAUACUGAAGAUCUUGAGUCCGGGAGAGGUGAGUGGAACUGCGAGUGUAGAGGUGAAAUUCGUAGAUAUUCGCAAGAACACCAGUGGCGAAGGCGGCUCUCUGGGACGGUACUGACGCUGAGACGCGAAAGCGUGGGGAGCGAACAGG
rnacentral:rRNA from 1 species